GUGAGAUUAGAUUAGGUUAGAUUAUAUCAGGUGAGAUUAGAUUAGGUUAGAUUAUAUCAGGUGAGAUUAGAUUAGGUUAGAUUAUAUCAGGUGAGAUUAGAUUAGGUUAGAUUAUAUCAGGUGAGAUUAGAUUAGGUUAGAUUAUAUCAGGUGAGAUUAGAUUAGGUUAGAUUAUAUCAGGUGAGAUUAGAUUAGGUUAGAUUAUAUCAGGUGAGAUUAGAUUAGGUUAGAUUAUAUCAGGUGAGAUUAGAUUAGGUUAGAUUAUAUCAGGUGAGAUUAGAUUAGGUUAGAUUAUAUCAGGUGAGAUUAGAUUAGGUUAGAUUAUAUCAGGUGAGAUUAGAUUAGGUUAGAUUAUAUCAGGUGAGAUUAGAUUAGGUUAGAUUAUAUCAGGUGAGAUUAGAUUAGCUUAGAUUAUAUCAGGUGAGAUUAGAUUAGGUUAGAUUAUAUCAGGUGAGAUUAGAUUAGGUUAGAUUAUCCUAAGUACGAAAAGAGGGAGGGAAGGAAGGAAGGAGGGAAGGAGAGAAGGAGACAGAAGGAGAAGGACGGUGAGAGGAAGGAGACUGGCUGAAAGUAGGACAUGGAGGAGGAGGAAACAUGGAAACACAGAAUGACAGGCAACAGAAAGCCUAUAAGGUCAUCAGGACACCUCUCCUCCCGAAAUUGACCUCUCUUUCGGCCACCUCUUUGGAGUCUUUUCAUAGGAGCAGCGAGUAGCGUUUUUCUUUAUUAUUGUUUCCUUUUUUUGUGCC